GGAUUAGCUUGUUGGUGGGGUAAUGGCCUACCAAGGCGACGAUCCGUAGCUGGUCUGAGAGGACGAUCAGCCACACUGGGACUGAGACACGACCCAGACUCCUACGGGAGGCAGCAGUGGGGAAUAUUGGACAAUGGGCGCAAGCCUGAUCCAGCAAUGCCGCGUGUGUGAAGAAGGCCUGCGGGUUGUAAAGCACUUUCAGUAGGGAAGAAAAGCCUGGUGUUAAUACCACCGGGUCUUGACGUUACCUACAGAAGAAGCACCGGCUAAUUCCGUGCCAGCAGCCGCGGUAAUACGGAAGGUGCAAGCGUUAAUCGGAAUUACUGGGCGUAAAGCGCGCGUAGGCGGUUUGUUAAGUCAGAUGUGAAAUCCCCGGGCUCAACCUGGGAACUGCAUUUGAAACUGGCAGGCUAGAGUUUGGUAGAGGAUAGUGGAAUUCCAGGUGUAGCGGUGAAAUGCGUAGAUAUCUGGAGGAACAUCAGUGGCGAAGGCGGCUAUCUGGACCAAAACUGACGCUGAGGUGUGAAAGCGUGGGGAGCAAACAGGAUUAGAUACCCUGGUAGUCCACGCUGUAAACGAUGUCAACUAGCCGUCGGAUCCAUUUAAGGGUUUGGUGGCGAAGCUAACGCGAUAAGUUGACCGCCUGGGGAGUACGGCCGCAAGGUUAAAACUCAAAGGAAUUGACGGGGGCCCGCACAAGCGGUGGAGCAUGUGGUAUAAUUCGAUGCAACGCGAAGAACCUUACCAGCCCUUGACAUCCUCGGAACUUUCUAGAAAUAGAUUGGUGCCUUCGGGAGCCGAGUGACAGGUGCUGCAUGGCUGUCGUCAGCUCGUGUCGUGAGAUGUUGGGUUAAGUCCCGUAACGAGCGCAACCCUUGUCCUUAGUUGCCAGCACAUAAUGGUGGGAACUCUAAGGAGACUGCCGGUGACAAACCGGAGGAAGGUGGGGAUGACGUCAAGUCAUCAUGGCCCUUAUGGGCUGGGCUACACACGUGCUACAAUGGUCGGUACAGACGGCUGCAAACCCGCGAGGGGGAGCUAAUCCGAGAAAACCGAUCGUAGUCCGGAUUGCAGUCUGCAACUCGACUGCAUGAAGUCGGAAUCGCUAGUAAUCGCAGAUCAGAAUGCUGCGGUGAAUACGUUCCCGGGCCUUGUACACACCGCCCGCCACACCAUGGGAGUGGGUUGCAAAAGAAGUGGGUAGCUUAACCUUCGGGAGGGCGCUCACCACUUUGUGAUUCAUGACUGGGGUGAAGUCGUAACAAGGUA
rnacentral:rRNA from 1 species